rnacentral:rRNA from 2 species
CCUACUCAUGCUAGUCGAGCGGACAGAUGGGAGCUUGCUCCCUGAUGUUAGCGGCGGACGGGUGAGUAACACGUGGGUAACCUGCCUGUAAGACUGGGAUAACUCCGGGAAACCGGGGCUAAUACCGGAUGGUUGUCUGAACCGCAUGGUUCAGACAUAAAAGGUGGCUUCGGCUACCACUUACAGAUGGACCCGCGGCGCAUUAGCUAGUUGGUGAGGUAACGGCUCACCAAGGCGACGAUGCGUAGCCGACCUGAGAGGGUGAUCGGCCACACUGGGACUGAGACACGGCCCAGACUCCUACGGGAGGCAGCAGUAGGGAAUCUUCCGCAAUGGACGAAAGUCUGACGGAACAACGCCGCGUGAGUGAUGAAGGUUUUCGGAUCGUAAAGCUUUGUUGUUAGGGAAGAACAAGUGCCGAUCACAUGUGGCGGUGCCUCGGCCGCACCUAACUAAAUCGUCGC